AGUGAACGCUGGCGGUAGGCCUAACACAUGCAAGUCGAACGGCAGCACAGUAAGAGCUUGCUCUUACGGGUGGCGAGUGGCGGACGGGUGAGGCAUACAUCGGAAUCUACUUUUUCGUGGGGGAUAACGUAGGGAAACUUACGCUAAUACCGCAUACGACCUACGGGUGAAAGCAGAGGAUCUUCGGACCUUUCGCGAUUGAAUGAGCCGAUGUCGGAUUAGCUAGUUGGCGGGGUAAAGGCCCACCAAGGCGACGAUCCGUAGCUGGUCUGAGAGGAUGAUCAGCCACACUGGAACUGAGACACGGUCCAGACUCCUACGGGAGGCAGCAGUGGGGAAUAUUGGACAAUGGGCGCAAGCCUGAUCCAGCCAUACCGCGUGGGUGAAGAAGGCCUUCGGGUUGUAAAGCCCUUUUGUUGGGAAAGAAAAGCAGCAGGUUAAUACCCCGCUGUUCUGACGGUACCCAAAGAAUAAGCACCGGCUAACUUCGUG
rnacentral:rRNA from 1 species